UACGUAGGGGGCAAGCGUUGUCCGGAAUCAUUGGGCGUAAAGCGCGUGUAGGCGGUCCGAUAAGUCGGUUGUGAAAGUCCAGGGCUCAACCCUGGAAUGCCGGUGGAAACUGUCAGGCUCGAGUCCGGAAGAGGCGAGUGGAAUUCCUGGUGUAGCGGUGAAAUGCGUAGAUAUCGUAAGGAAGACCAGUGGCGAAGGCGGGUCUCUGGACAGUUCCUGACGCUGAGGCACGAAGGUCAGGGGAGCAAACGGG
rnacentral:rRNA from 1 species